GUUAAAGACGGAAGCUGAAGUUCCCAGUCAGUGGAUUGAAAUGUCGUGGAGCGAUAUUGGUCUGGCCGGGCAUAAGUGCUGUCCUCUGAUGCAUGUCUGCCUUCGAGGUUCCUGAAGCUUCCUGUCUGCUCCCGAGGAAGCAGCUCUCAUUUGCAUUGACUUCCCACAACUUCCUCCAGGUUCCUCUGUUGGUUAGAAAUAGAAGUGACAGCCAGAGAUCAGGAAAGAACUCUGACGAGCAAGCCCAUCGUUUCCUCUGAGACAAAGAUACGAUCAGGCCGAGCAAACCCCGUGUUAACAAAAACAAAUGUGAACAUGAAACAUCUUGAUGUAAAACUUAUGCUCUCCAGCAGGCGAUCUGAAUGGCAACCUGGCGACUGUUUUCCAAACCAUAGAUCAUGGUGCUGCCACCAUCCUUGAGCCUACAGGAUGCUGGAAACGUGGAAGAAGGAACACACAAAUCCAUGGUGUUUCUCACAUUAUAAAUAAGUGAGAAAAAGAUCUACGUCAAUUGUAAAAUCGCACAUAUUCAAG
rnacentral:lncRNA from 1 species